UACGGGGGGAGCAAGCGUUGUUCGGAAUUACUGGGCGUAAAGGGCGCGUAGGCGGACAGUUUAGUCAGAGGUGAAAGCCCAGGGCUCAACCUUGGAAUUGCCUUUGAUACUGGCUGUCUCGAGUUCGGGAGAGGUGAGUGGAAUGCCGAGUGUAGAGGUGAAAUUCGUAGAUAUUCGGCGGAACACCAGUGGCGAAGGCGACUCACUGGCCCGAUACUGACGCUGAGGCGCGAAAGCCAGGGGAGCAAACGGG
rnacentral:rRNA from 1 species